CUAGUUGGGCAGCCAGGAAAUGUCCAUGGUCCAGAUUCCACUAUCAAUGGAGGGUUUAUAUCUUCAAUUCCAUCACCAUUUCAAAUUUCUCAUUUGAAAGAGUUUCAACAUCCGUACAUGGAUAAAGCAUCUUGUCAGAUUCUAGGCUCAAAGAAUUCAUGGGCUUUGACAGAAAAUCCUCUAUGUUCAGGCAGGGAAGGAGGAGGCCCACAAACAAGGGGGAAUCUCAAGUUUUCCUCUUAUGUUCCAGUUGAUCAAACCUCUCUUGGAAAUGAGUCAUCUCUGGUUCCUUUGGAUUUAACAAGGAAUGUGGAACCUCUUGAUGUAGCAGGGC
rnacentral:misc_RNA from 1 species